UCUAGCCCUCUACUUCAGUCACAUGCAUUCCAAAUAUAGAUCAAUUACUAAUCAGCAUCAGUAUCUGCAAUGGACUCACUUUCAGCAACCUCUGACCUUUACAUGUUGUAAUAUAAUUUUACCUAAAAAUGGGGGAGGGGUAUAAUCAAUAAAAGGGAUUGUUUUAGAAAUAAGAGGUUCAAAUUAAGAUAUUCUGCCUUGUAGAGGACCUACUUACAGUUUUUUGAACUGUGGUACAAAAAGCUUCAUGUAAUUUCACUAGACCUUUAAACAGUGUAAAACUGUUUGGCUAGUGGUGUGAAUAUCAGAAGAAUUUAUUAUUACAGGCAUAAAGAAAAUAUGGCAGAAAUGUGGUCACUUUCUUUCAGAAUAUAGAAUGUGGUCACUUUCUUUAUACUGACAUUUUGUCACUCAUUGACAUCAGCCCAUGAUUAAAUAAACUCUAGGGCAACAUACAAUUGCCCAUGAGCAAAUACAUUCUUAAAUGAAAACAUGUAGCACUGAAAUUCUUUUUAUAAAAACAUAUUGAACAUAAUGGAAGUUUUCUUGGCCAAAAGCAGCCUCCAAUGGAGCUUUGGUUCUCUAAUUUGGAGGCCUCUAAUAUGACCAGUUUGUGGGAAAUAAUUUCUGCAUUUUGCUCAUCUUGAUAUACAUGUAAAGGUACUUGGAAUAACAGAAAUCUGAAAAAGAUCUUUUUGGUACGUUAGGGAAAAGUUCCUCUUUAUAAAUCUGGGAUUUUGUUAUGUGCUCAGCAGCCCACAAGGAAUGAGUGUGCAAUUCAUGACUACAUCAAUGAGAACAUAGAAACUGGAGCCCCAUUCAUGCAAAGACUUACAUGUGUGCUCAACUUUACACAUUUUGAAUAGCCCCAUUGACUCCACCAGGGCUACUCAGUGUGCACAUUUUAGCAUGUAUGUAAGGGCUUGUCAACACAAGAAAGUUUGUUUUUUUGUUUUUUUUUUUUUAGUACAACUUCAGAUUUUUUUUGGCAUAAACUGACUUGUGUCCCCACAUGGUGGGUUGGUUUUUUUUUUUUUUUAAUUUCUCUCUCUAAUUUGCUUUGGAAGCAACAUAACUAUUUUGGAAUGAGAUAUACUGCUAUAUAGUUUGUGUGGAUGUAUCCCUAUGUUGAAUUAACUAUACUGCUUUAGGUAUUCCUCCUACUGGUAUCCCACACUGCAUUGCUUCACAGGUGGGUGAAGCUUUCUGGUUACCUGUGUGGCUUCUACUGCCCUGGGGCUUCUUGUCUGGAUGUU